rnacentral:lncRNA from 1 species
AGCCAGUAGACGCCUUUUUCCUCUCUUCUCCACUCUUCUUCUCUCACUCCUCAGUCUUUCUCUUAGCCGAGCGCCCCUCUUCUUCUUUCUCGGUUUCUUUCACUCUCCACUCAAAUCCACUCAAAAUACUCUCAAGUUUGCCAAUUUUUUGGGAGAAAAUUUAUGGGGCUGCUCCCCUUAAGCUCCUCCACACUUUCCCUCCAUCUUUUUGAGAUUUGACUGGAUGAAUCUCUAGAUCGAGGUAACUCCAUUGUUCUUCAUUCUUGUGACUCAAUCUAUGUAGUUAGUGUAUUUCUUGUGAUUCCCUUCGAGGAGUAGUAGGGGUUGGAUGUUUGAAUCAAUCCUCAAAUGGUUCUUUUUAACAUGGACAUUUUUGUGAAGGUAAAUCAGUGUGUAUUGCUCAUGAUAGUUGAACCGUUCACUUGAACGGUUGAAAUACGUGUUCAAAAUCACUCUUGGUUCUCUUCACAUAUGUUCUUUAAUUCCUUGAAAAUCAUUACUUCUCUAACCUUAUGUGUCUCGUUUGGACUCAAGGAUGGUUUGUCGCCGAAAUCCUUCAGUCAUUGAAUCUGACUCUAAUGAAGACUCCCUAGAGAUUCAUGAGGAGGUACCCACAAGGUCUAGGUCCAAGCGAGGAAGAGGCUCUAGAAAUGUUGUGAUGGGAGCUGAGGCCUCUGGGUCUCAGAGUGGUCGCGGGCGUAUGACUCGAACUCCUAGUCGCUCUCGCCCUACUGCAAAUCCACAGGCCUGGGAACCUUCAAGCAAUGAUGAAGGUGGUAAAGACGAUGUUACUGAUCUUCCUCUUCUAGAUGCUCCCAUUGUCAGGGGUCUAGUUCUGCAUAAGGCCCAAGCCAGAAGAUCUGCGAAUGAGGAGAUCACUGAUUUUAGUGCCAGUGGAGGCUCGACACCUCUUCAUGACAUGCGCUUCCAAAAUCCAGCUUGUAAUACCUACUUUGUAAUAAAAAUCUAAAAAGAGAAAUUUCAUUUCUUUAUAUAUUUGUGAGUCAUCUAUAUUCAUCAUUUCAUGUGGACACCUCACUUACACCAAUAAAUAAUCAACAAAAGACACGCAACUAAAUUAUGCAUCAUGCUGGGAAUUUACUUUGUGUGCAUUUUAUGACAAUAUAAAGAUAAUGUGACAAGAAAAUAUUAAAGUCUCAAGUGGAAUUUAGAAUAUACAAGAGAUUUUUAGAAUUUAUAAAAGAGAGCGAGAAAUAAUGGUCAAUACCAAAUAAAAUCCUUAGAGAAAUAAAUUCAUUCCACCAUGACAUGUUUGAAUCAUACCUUCAAAUAGUUGAGUACAAAUCGUCACAAAAUUUGAAAUCCAAAAUUUGGAUUUCAAAAUAAAAAGAAAACAAAAGCAAAAGAAAAAUAAAAUAAAAAAAGCAAACCUAACUCUAACUGGGCUCAGAACACCAUUUCGGCCCAUCUGUUGUUUUCCCUUGCGCGGCCCAACGCCUGCGUGCGCCGACAUGUGGGCCUAGUCGGUCAGCGAUACACCUCAGCGCGCGCUAACCCCCUUUGGCUGUCGCGUGGGCCCAGAACACCAGAGACCCCAGGCGUGCGCGGCCGCUCCGACACUCGCCGCCUGGUGGAUCCCACGUGUUAGCCAUCCCGCCUCAGUUCUCCUUCUCUAUGCGCUGGGCCCCAUCGGUCGGAUCCUCCCCAUCCCCGUCACAUGGGCCGUUGAAACGGCUGCGUGAAAUAGCUGGGAAUCGGAUCCCAGAAUCCCUCGACCUAGGGAUAAAACCCUGGAAGGAGUCUUCGUGGCUGCGACUUAGCGUGCUGGAGUUGUGUAGCCACUGUGAAACACCACACUGCGCGCCGCCGCCACCACCAAAAGGGAGUGUUUCGGCCGCCGCGGACAAUUGCGUGUUGGCGCAGCGCCAACUCCAUUGUGACUGGGCGGGAAGCUUCGCCGAGUCCCCACGGAGCUGCGGAUCACCUAGGCAGAAAGAGAGGACCACUGGGUGACCGGAAUUUCGCCGUCGCGCAACCGGAUUCAUCCUGCGCCGUGGCUAGGCAUCGUCACCUUUCUAUAGCCUGUAAGAACCCCCCCUCUGGUUGUUUGCAUUGUUAUACACAUGGGAGGGGCAUGUUCGAUUUAGGAAUUGGGGGCUAGGGGCGUGUGUUGGGGAAGCUCGUCGGUGUCCCCCGCCGCGGUGGCCGCUUUCUUCGCCGGCCAUGGGUAAGAGGUAGGAGAUGUCGCGACCACCGUCCUUAGUUUGAUGGACGGUGCAGAUCAAUCUGGGUAGUAACCUUUCGCUGGGGCAAUCUGAUCCAUAGGAUUGUAAACGGAUGGACUAGAUUAGGUCAGUGCUUUCGCCUUCGUGUCGUUCGAUCCGGGCCCUUGGAUCAAGAUACGAUGGUCUGCGUGGCGUACCGGUUCGGGUGCGUGCUCGAUCUAAUCUGGGGCAUGCAAAAUUGAUCCAACGGCUAGGGAUUCAGGAUACCCUUUCGCGGGGACAGUUUACUUAAGAGUCCUCGGACUUUCUAGAUUUUGAACCCGCCGUCCAUAUUCACUAUGCGCUGUGCCUUAAGAAUAUUACCCUGAGCCCCCUGCACUUUUCAGUAAAUGAGGCCCGGUCCAGUGCAGUUUGAAAUUGAAUAAAUAAUUUGGAAAAUAGUUUUUUAAUAGGAAAAUAAUUGCUAGAACUUCAAUAAUUCAUAGAAAAUGUAUAUGAACUCCAAAUUACUCCAUUCCAGUUCCUAAAAUUUUGUAAUUUUAUUCUCUAGCACUUAGAGUCUCUAUUUUAUCAUGAAAACAAUAAGAAAUUUAAUCUCUCACUUAAUCAUAUUUUAAGCACAUAACACCUUUGAAAAUUCAUAACUUAAAAUCUAUAACUCGAAAAAUUAUGAUUCUUGUUCCUAGGAUUUUAUUUUAAUGUGUGGAUUAUUACUGUGUAUUUUGUGUACAUGUUUGGUGUGAUGUUAAUUUUCUCUAUAUACUGUGCUUGUUUGUAUUGUGGCGAGUAGAAGAGACCGUGACUGAGGAUCCUGGUGAGC